rnacentral:rRNA from 1 species
CCUACGGGAGGCAGCAGUGAGGAAUAUUGGUCAAUGGGCGCGAGCCUGAACCAGCCAAGUCGCGUGAGGGAAGACGGUCCUAUGGAUUGUAAACCUCUUUUGUCGGGGAGCAAACGACGCCACGCGUGGCGUUCCGAGAGUACCCGAAGAAAAAGCAUCGGCUAACUCCGUGCCAGCAGCCGCGGUAAUACGGAGGAUGCGAGCGUUAUCCGGAUUUAUUGGGUUUAAAGGGUGCGCAGGAGGAAGAUCAAGUCAGCGGUAAAAUCGAGAGGCUCAACCUCUUCGAGCCGUUGAAACUGGUUUUCUUGAGUGAGUGAGAGGUAUGCGGAAUGCGUGGUGUAGCGGUGAAAUGCAUAGAUAUCACGCAGAACUCCGAUUGCGAAGGCAGCAUACCGGCGCUCAACUGACGCUCAUGCACGAAAGUGUGGGUAUCGAACAGGAUUAGAUACCCGGGUAGUC